AAAGGGGGUCAGAGUUUUUCUUCAUUCUCACAUUUUCUUCUUUUCUCUGGUAUUUUUCUGCUUUCUUCGGAAUUAAAAGAGUCGUAAUUGAAAAUCACAAUCAAUGAACUCGGUAGAGACAUGGUUAUAUCAAAUUACUGAUGCCGUCAAUGUUGGUUGGUGGUAUAAGAAUAUCUUCUUGUUGUUAUCUGGAUUUGGAAGUUUUCUUGAGGUAACCAAUUUUCACUCAACUGAUCAAAUUAGUUUUUACCGGUUGUUGAAUUUUGUGCUAUCACCCAUGAUAAAUAUUGGGAUUCAGCACUUGGCCAUGAUUUAUCUCAAAUUUGGAGUUGUUGUAAAACAGGGAAGUUAGGGUUCCUACCAACUUGUUUUUUUUUGUUAAAAUUUAAUGAUUGAGUUUCAAUGUAGAUGAUAUUAAUGCAUGGGUUAACUGUAAUCAUGGCAAUUUGGGUCUGAAUUAUGUAACAUGAUAAAAUAGGCUUCCUCAUGUAAAUUUUGGGUUUCUCACCAAAUUUAUCUCCAAUGAGUUGUUUGAUGAAAAAUAGAAGCAAAAUGGUAUGUUGAAGGAUAUAUGCAUAUGGCUGCGGAGCAGACAGACAUCGCGUGGAUAUUUAUUGAGUUACCGAAUACGGAUGGUGGGGUACUGUCUUUAAAGUGAAACGACACUUUUAUCGCAUAAUGUCCGUGAAAAUAUACUAGUCUUAAUUUUUAUCUAGACUUGACCUUGUAGAUGUUUGUACCAGUGCAUGGCGAAUAAAAUGAUAUGGGAUAUGUAACCAUCACUUUUUCCGCUUCGUACUGCGUUUGGUAUUUCCAUCUGCUUUGUUCAGAGAUCUGGUGCAGAUGAACACAAACUACAUUUCUAGAGGUUGAACUUUGGAUUGUGCUAAAAACAGUCGAUGCUUGUAACUUAGGCAAGAUCAGGGGUGUGUUUGUGCUUGUGAUAUUAUUUUUACUUUUGGUUUUAUCUAGUUUCAUUCAUAUUUCAUUUUUAUGUGAUUUCAUACAAGGAUUCUAUCUUUUCACAUUUUAUGGUCACGUGCCCGAAUAUUGACUCCCUUCUA